rnacentral:rRNA from 1 species
CCUACGGGAGGCAGCAGUGGGGAAUAUUGCACAAUGGGGGAAACCCUGAUGCAGCGACGCCGCGUGAGUGAAGAAGUAUUUCGGUAUGUAAAGCUCUAUCAGCAGGGAAGAAAAUGACGGUACCUGAUUAAGAAGCCCCGGCUAACUACGUGCAAGCAGCGGCGGGAAUACGGAGGGGGCAAGCGUUAUCCGGAUUUACUGGGCGUAAAGGGAGCGUAGACGGCAGCACAAGUCUGGAGUGAAAUGCCGGGGGUUAAACCCGGAACUGCUGUUGAAACUGUGCAGCUAGAGUGGAGGAGAGGUAAGUGGAAUGCGUAGUGUAGCGGUGAAAUGCGUAGAUAUUAGGCAGAACACCAGUGGCGAAGGCGGCUUACUGGACUGUAACUGACGUUGAGGCUCGAAAGCGUGGGUAGCAAACAGGAUUAGAUACCCCUGUAGUC